AUUGAACGCUGGCGGCAUGCCUUACACAUGCAAGUCGAACGGCAGCACGGGAGCAAUCCUGGUGGCGAGUGGCGAUCGGGUGAGUAAAGUAUCGGAACGUGCCCAGUCGUGGGGGAUAACGUAGCGAAAGUUACGCUAAUACCGCAUACGAUCUAUGGAUGAAAGCGGGGGAUCGCAAGACCUCGCGCGAUUGGAGCGGCCGAUAUCAGAUUAGGUAGUUGGUGGGGUAAAGGCUCACCAAGCCGACGACCUGUAGCUGGUCUGAGAGGACGACCAGCCACACUGGGACUGAGACACGGCCCAGACUCCUACGGGAGGCAGCAGUGGGGAAUUUUGGACAAUGGGCGAAAGCCUGAUCCAGCCAUGCCGCGUGCAGGAUGAAGGCCUUCGGGUUGUAAACUGCUUUUGUACGGAACGAAAAGGUUUGGGCUAAUAAGCUGAGCUCAUGACGGUACCGUAAGAAUAAGCACCGGCUAACUACGUGCCAGCCGCCGCCGUAA
rnacentral:rRNA from 1 species